rnacentral:lncRNA from 1 species
CUGUUAAUUGCUAAUAAACAUUAUUAAAAUAGGAAGAACUAAGUGAUAUUUCUCGUCUUCGUCGUUAUUGGUUUAAAUAUGACGAUUUUUCUAGAGGAAAACUUUUGGUAUACAGAUUAUCAGCUUAUUGAAAAUGAUCGCUAUAGAAUAAAUAUUACUGAUAUCAUAAAAGAUUUUCACAGACAGCAAUGCAAUAUUUCGCAUAAAUAUUCGAUUUAAAUGAAAUACAUAUACAUAAGGGGUGCGUUUGUUUAUUGGACGGUUUUCUCACAGAGUAGACUGGUGGCAGCGGAAGUUGUUUAUUUUUUCUCGAAAAGGACACUGAUGUUUUUCGUUUUUCCCGUGACUGAGUCAAAACUAACUAUCCUUCCAAUCACGGGAAAAAUGAAACAUGUCAGUGUCAUUCUCGAGAAGAAAUGGCUUCCGCCACCACUAGUCUGAUC